UACGUAGGGUGCAAGCGUUGUCCGGAAUUAUUGGGCGUAAAGAGCUCGUAGGCGGUCUGUCGCGUCGAAUGUGAAAACCCGGGGCUCAACCCCGGGCCUGCAUUCGAUACGGGCAGACUAGAGUUCGGUAGGGGAGUCUGGAAUUCCUGGUGUAGCGGUGAAAUGCGCAGAUAUCAGGAAGAACACCAAUGGCGAAGGCAGCUCUCUGGGACGGUACUGACGCUGAGACGCGAAAGCGUGGGGAGCGAACAGG
rnacentral:rRNA from 1 species